AGAGUUUGAUCAUGGCUCAGAGCGAACGCUGGCGGCAGGCUUAACACAUGCAAGUCGAGCGGGCGUAGCAAUACGUCAGCGGCAGACGGGUGAGUAACGCGUGGGAACGUACCUUUUGGUUCGGAACAACACAGGGAAACUUGUGCUAAUACCGGAUAAGCCCUUACGGGGAAAGAUUUAUCGCCGAAAGAUCGGCCCGCGUCUGAUUAGCUAGUUGGUGAGGUAAUGGCUCACCAAGGCGACGAUCAGUAGCUGGUCUGAGAGGAUGAUCAGCCACAUUGGGACUGAGACACGGCCCAAACUCCUACGGGAGGCAGCAGUGGGGAAUAUUGGACAAUGGGGGCAACCCUGAUCCAGCCAUGCCGCGUGAGUGAUGAAGGCCCUAGGGUUGUAAAGCUCUUUUGUGCGGGAAGAUAAUGACGGUACCGCAAGAAUAAGCCCCGGCUAACUUCGUGCCAGCAGCCGCGGUAAUACGAAGGGGGCUAGCGUUGCUCGGAAUCACUGGGCGUAAAGGGUGCGUAGGCGGGUUUUUAAGUCAGGGGUGAAAUCCUGGAGCUCAACUCCAGAACUGCCUUUGAUACUGAAGAUCUUGAGUCCGGGAGAGGUGAGUGGAACUGCGAGUGUAGAGGUGAAAUUCGUAGAUAUUCGCAAGAACACCAGUGGCGAAGGCGGCUCACUGGCCCGGUACUGACGCUGAGGC
rnacentral:rRNA from 1 species